CGCCCUGCGCUGGCUCCGCCAGCCAAUCCGGCCCUCGGCUCCCCCUCCCGGUCUCCGACCAAUCAGAACCGUGGGUCGGUCGUCCCAACGCAGGGGGCAGCACGAGGCGGCCGGGGGAGGCGGUGCGGGGAGUGGUGGGGCCUGGGGGGAGGGGUGCGGUGCCAAGGGUGGUGGCAAGGGGUGAUUUUCUUUGCCGGCUUCUUGGAUUUUUCUCUUAGUCUUAAGAACCUGAGCCCGUAUCCCACGAUGACUCGACCCCAAUCCCCCAGCUGCUAGCCCCCCGGAAAAAUAUUAUCUACCUCCGCCCUGGCCAUCACCCCUCCACAUCGCCUUUCCCCCAUAUCCUCCCCAGCACGCGCGGGAGAAAACUGUGGGCCGAGGAACACCCCACCCUCUCCGGAGGCUGCUGCCCCCAGGGCAAAGCUUCGGGAAGACCAGCCGAAAAUGAAGCGAGAACAACCCCCCUUUCCUGCAGAAAGGGCCCCAGACUCCUGCAAAAGGGCCCCGACUGCUGAGAAGCCCCUCCCGCCCUUGCCUCAUCUUUCCGACUUCCCUGCCUGCCACGUCUCCUUUCCUCUCCAGCAAGACUCCUCCAGAAUCCUCAUUCUCAGAGUCCAAGCCUGACUUCCUGGAAAGGUCUCUCGAAGCUCAGGUGAAACUCUCCUGAAGCUCAAGGCCACCUUGCUCUCUGCUGCCCUGAACUCCACGGACUCCAAGCUGUCUCCUCCUCACACAUUCCUGACCAUCUGCUGUUUUGCCUACAUACAGACCCCUGGGAAGAUGAGGAAAUCCAGAUCUGGAAUGGACAGUGUAUUGAGAACCUCCAAAGCCAGCAGGAGGUCCAGAGGGGGCAGGUGUCUUACAGAAGACAUGAACAGGCACUCAACAUAUGUUUCUUUAUUUAACCCUCAAGAACUCUGGUAGGUAAAUGUACUCUCAAAUUUACAAACAAAUGAGGAAACUGAGACCUGGAGAAUCUAAGUAAGUGCUCAAGAUCACAUAGACUUGGAGUGGCUCCAAAACCUUCACUUUUUUUCAUGCGACAUUUAACAUAUAAAAUAGAGGUCUAACCCUU